UACGUAGGGUGCGAGCGUUGUCCGGAAUUAUUGGGCGUAAAGAGCUCGUAGGCGGUUUGUCGCGUCGACUGUGAAAACCUACAGCUUAACUGUGGGCUUGCAGUCGAUACGGGCAGACUUGAGUUCGGUAGGGGAGACUGGAAUUCCUGGUGUAGCGGUGAAAUGCGCAGAUAUCAGGAGGAACACCGGUGGCGAAGGCGGGUCUCUGGGCCGAUACUGACGCUGAGGAGCGAAAGCGUGGGGAGCAAACGGG
rnacentral:rRNA from 1 species